rnacentral:rRNA from 1 species
UUAAGCGACUAAGCGUACACGGUGGAUGCCCUGGCAGUCAGAGGCGAUGAAGGACGUGCUAAUCUGCGAUAAGCGUCGGUAAGGUGAUAUGAACCGUUAUAACCGGCGAUUUCCGAAUGGGGAAACCCAGUGUGAUUCGUCACACUAUCAUUAACUGAAUCCAUAGGUUAAUGAGGCGAACCGGGGGAACUGAAACAUCUAAGUACCCCGAGGAAAAGAAAUCAACCGAGAUUCCCCCAGUAGCGGCGAGCGAACGGGGAGCAGCCCAGAGCCUGAAUCAGUGUGUGUGUUAGUGGAAGCGUCUGGAAAGGCGUGCGAUACAGGGUGACAGCCCCGUACACAAAAAUGCACAUGCUGUGAGCUCGAUGAGUAGGGCGGGACACGUGGUAUCCUGUCUGAAUAUGGGGGGACCAUCCUCCAAGGCUAAAUACUCCUGACUGACCGAUAGUGAACCAGUACCGUGAGGGAAAGGCGAAAAGAACCCCGGCGAGGGGAGUGAAAAAGAACCUGAAACCGUGUACGUACAAGCAGUGGGAGCACGCUUAGGCGUGUGACUGCGUACCUUUUGUAUAAUGGGUCAGCGACUUAUAUUCUGUAGCAAGGUUAACCGAAUAGGGGAGCCGAAGGGAAACCGAGUCUUAACUGGGCGUUAAGUUGCAGGGUAUAGACCCGAAACCCGGUGAUCUAGCCAUGGGCAGGUUGAAGGUUGGGUAACACUAACUGGAGGACCGAACCGACUAAUGUUGAAAAAUUAGCGGAUGACUUGUGGCUGGGGGUGAAAGGCCAAUCAAACCGGGAGAUAGCUGGUUCUCCCCGAAAGCUAUUUAGGUAGCGCCUCGUGAAUUCAUCUCCGGGGGUAGAGCACUGUUUCGGCAAGGGGGUCAUCCCGACUUACCAACCCGAUGCAAACUGCGAAUACCGGAGAAUGUUAUCACGGGAGACACACGGCGGGUGCUAACGUCCGUCGUGAAGAGGGAAACAACCCAGACCGCCAGCUAAGGUCCCAAAGUCAUGGUUAAGUGGGAAACGAUGUGGGAAGGCCCAGACAGCCAGGAUGUUGGCUUAGAAGCAGCCAUCAUUUAAAGAAAGCGUAAUAGCUCACUGGUCGAGUCGGCCUGCGCGGAAGAUGUAACGGGGCUAAACCAUGCACCGAAGCUGCGGCAGCGACGCUUAUGCGUUGUUGGGUAGGGGAGCGUUCUGUAAGCCUGUGAAGGUGUACUGUGAGGUAUGCUGGAGGUAUCAGAAGUGCGAAUGCUGACAUAAGUAACGAUAAAGCGGGUGAAAAGCCCGCUCGCCGGAAGACCAAGGGUUCCUGUCCAACGUUAAUCGGGGCAGGGUGAGUCGACCCCUAAGGCGAGGCCGAAAGGCGUAGUCGAUGGGAAACAGGUUAAUAUUCCUGUACUUGGUGUUACUGCGAAGGGGGGACGGAGAAGGCUAUGUUGGCCGGGCGACGGUUGUCCCGGUUUAAGCGUGUAGGCUGGUUUUCCAGGCAAAUCCGGAAAAUCAAGGCUGAGGCGUGAUGACGAGGCACUACGGUGCUGAAGCAACAAAUGCCCUGCUUCCAGGAAAAGCCUCUAAGCAUCAGGUAACAUCAAAUCGUACCCCAAACCGACACAGGUGGUCAGGUAGAGAAUACCAAGGCGCUUGAGAGAACUCGGGUGAAGGAACUAGGCAAAAUGGUGCCGUAACUUCGGGAGAAGGCACGCUGAUAUGUAGGUGAAGCGACUUGCUCGUGGAGCUGAAAUCAGUCGAAGAUACCAGCUGGCUGCAACUGUUUAUUAAAAACACAGCACUGUGCAAACACGAAAGUGGACGUAUACGGUGUGACGCCUGCCCGGUGCCGGAAGGUUAAUUGAUGGGGUCAGCGCAAGCGAAGCUCUUGAUCGAAGCCCCGGUAAACGGCGGCCGUAACUAUAACGGUCCUAAGGUAGCGAAAUUCCUUGUCGGGUAAGUUCCGACCUGCACGAAUGGCGUAAUGAUGGCCAGGCUGUCUCCACCCGAGACUCAGUGAAAUUGAACUCGCUGUGAAGAUGCAGUGUACCCGCGGCAAGACGGAAAGACCCCGUGAACCUUUACUAUAGCUUGACACUGAACAUUGAGCCUUGAUGUGUAGGAUAGGUGGGAGGCUUGGAAGUGUGGACGCCAGUCUGCAUGGAGCCGACCUUGAAAUACCACCCUUUAAUGUUUGAUGUUCUAACGUUGACCCGUGAUCCGGGUUGCGGACAGUGUCUGGUGGGUAGUUUGACUGGGGCGGUCUCCUCCUAAAGAGUAACGGAGGAGCACGAAGGUUGGCUAAUCCUGGUCGGACAUCAGGAGGUUAGUGCAAUGGCAUAAGCCAGCUUGACUGCGAGCGUGACGGCGCGAGCAGGUGCGAAAGCAGGUCAUAGUGAUCCGGUGGUUCUGAAUGGAAGGGCCAUCGCUCAACGGAUAAAAGGUACUCCGGGGAUAACAGGCUGAUACCGCCCAAGAGUUCAUAUCGACGGCGGUGUUUGGCACCUCGAUGUCGGCUCAUCACAUCCUGGGGCUGAAGUAGGUCCCAAGGGUAUGGCUGUUCGCCAUUUAAAGUGGUACGCGAGCUGGGUUUAGAACGUCGUGAGACAGUUCGGUCCCUAUCUGCCGUGGGCGCUGGAGAACUGAGGGGGGCUGCUCCUAGUACGAGAGGACCGGAGUGGACGCAUCACUGGUGUUCGGGUUGUCAUGCCAAUGGCACUGCCCGGUAGCUAAAUGCGGAAGAGAUAAGUGCUGAAAGCAUCUAAGCACGAAACUUGCCCCGAGAUGAGUUCUCCCUGAGACUUUAAGUCUCCUGAAGGAACGUUGAAGACGACGACGUUGAUAGGCCGGGUGUGUAAGCGCAGCGAUGCGUUGAGCUAACCGGUACUAAUGAACCGUGAGGCUUAACCUU